rnacentral:sRNA from 1 species
GUCCUUAGCAACCAGCCUUGGUUCCCAGCGGCCCAGAGCGCGGCGAACUCAUCUGAAAGACUUUUAUAAAUGACAGUGCAUCAACAGUUGAGCAUGUAUUAACAUGGAGUGGUAUAUUAAUAGGAAGAAGCAUAAUAUAGCACAAAGCAGUCAGUCAAGCUUCUAGUCCAGAAAGUGUAUGAUUUUAUCUGAAGUAAUUUGGAAUAAAUUUACUUGAAAGCAAGCUAUUCUAUAUGAGAAGUUGGGCCAAAUGUUGAUUUGGACAAAAAUGAAUGUAGUAAAGUGGGAAAAAAUCUUGAAGGCUGGCAUCAAAAUAACUCUUAAACAAUGAACUAUUACAGAGAUUUCCACUUGAGUCAUGACUCAUUCCAUCUUCCCCUCAAGUGCAACAUAAGAAUUUAUGAUUUAUGAAUAUGUCUGUUAACAAAUCACCUAUGAUUAAUACAUGUGGAGGCAUAUCUUCCCCUUAUCAUGAAGAGCUCUGGAAAUUAAAUUUUCAACAUUUAAGUGGAGAAAGGGGUCAUAAAUCAAG